rnacentral:lncRNA from 1 species
AAAUAAAAACGAAAUAAAUAAUUGUUGAAACUAUGUUUUUAUGCUGCAGGCGACAAGCUUCAUCUUUAAAAAACGGCUAUUUUUUGGCUGUCCCGCGUAACAUAUUUCAAUUAUUGUAACCACUAAACUAUAAUUUUCGUCUAAACUAUUUAAUAUUUUGAAAAACGUUUUUUUCCAUUAUUCAACAGAAAGGUUCCUCCAGUCUUUUAUGCAUUUUUAUGACAUUAUGAUGACGUCAUAGGAAAAAAAGCGCGUUCCAUACUACAAGGGCAAAUCUGUCCCACCGUGAAAAAAAUU